rnacentral:tRNA from 1 species
CGCGGGGUAGAGCAGUUGGUAGCUCGUCGGGCUCAUAACCCGGAGGUCGUCGGUUCAAAUCCGGCCCCCGCAACCA